GUCCAAGUAAUUUAACUAAAAUAUUGGCCUUGUAAGCCAGCUAUGAAGGUAAAGCCCUUCCUAGGACC
rnacentral:tRNA from 1 species